AGAAAUAUGAAAAUAGAAAAAAUGUUAUUUCAUGCUGCUAUUAAAGACAAGUAUGUGGUUUAGAGCAGCGGAGUCACAUCAGACUGAAUCUGACGUUUGGAAUCACAGCUGUCAAAUAAGAAUCACAUUAGUUUAUUUUAUUUAGUUUCUUUUAGACCCUCAGUAGUUGCAGCAGUCCUCCUUCCUGGGCUUCAUAUAAACCUUUACAUUUACAUAUGAAAAGCAGC